CUGUGUGAAUCGACCAUAGCUUGUCUGCGGCCAGUCUAUCUAAUCAUGAUGAUUUUUAUAGUUCUCUUAUACCGCGUGUACCACGGAAAAGUAACCGACAUAUUUCCAACACCUUUCGGAAAAUAUACCGAGCGAGUAACUUUCAAUUCGGACUUUCGAAACUAUCAAUUACUAGCGCGUCAGUUGAAAAGCGAAAAUUAAAUGAGGAUUUCAAUGAGCUGAAUACUAAAUGGAACAAUGGAGGUACAACUGCAGACCAAUUCAGACUCAGUGCGAAAAGAACACCCAACAAGAACUUGAAUGGGGGCCAAUAUUUUAGAGCAUCGCAUCAAAUAUUGCAAAAAUCAUCGAGAUAAUUUCAAGGCAGCAUACAGUGAGGAGUGGUAACUCCACCACCGUUGGCGUCUUUUUAACAGCCAGCGGUUGAGGAGUUCCUCAACCUCGCGGAUGUUCAUGUGGAGCUUAAAGCUCUCAACCACCAUCUAAAAAUACGGUUUAUUUAUUUAUUGACUAGUUUAUUUUAUAGCAUUAUUAUAUAAACUAGCUUAGGCUGAUUUUUUUCCUUCAUUCGUAAUUGCUGAAAGUUGGUAAUUACUAAGCUACCAAUAGAUGUAAAGUAUUUGCAUCCGCAACACCUGAAAUGUUAGUUAGAAGCUGAUGUAUUAGGUUUUAUUUUCAAUUAUUUUAUUUUAUUAUUCUGUAUUAGGUAUAUAGAUUUUACGAUAGACUGAAACGAAUCAAUUACAUUUGCUUUCUAUAACAGUCUGUACUUUCCUUGUAAAAAAUAUAAUAAACAUAUUUGGUGACCCAAACAGAGCUUCGAGUAUUUAAUUGAUAUUUUAAUAAAUAAAAUAUGAAUGAAUAAACAGAGGGCAUAAAUGAAUUACAAUGAGAAAAUAGAAUGAAUAUGAAUAAAUAUAACAUGAGCCA